rnacentral:rRNA from 1 species
GGGUUGUGAGGUUAAGCGACUAAGCGUACACGGUGGAUGCCCUGGCAGUCAGAGGCGAUGAAGGACGUGCUAAUCUGCGAUAAGCGUCGGUAAGGUGAUAUGAACCGUUAUAACCGGCGAUUUCCGAAUGGGGAAACCCAGUGUGAUUCGUCACACUAUCAUUAACUGAAUCCAUAGGUUAAUGAGGCGAACCGGGGGAACUGAAACAUCUAAGUACCCCGAGGAAAAGAAAUCAACCGAGAUUCCCCCAGUAGCGGCGAGCGAACGGGGAGGAGCCCAGAGCC